AAGUGCAGAAAGGACCAAAAGCAACUUUCAACUCCAUAUCCAUAUUCCACAACUCUAAAGGGGACUUUGAAACAAGCAGGAAGACAAACAAAUCUUGAGACUAACCUCAUCACUCAUCCUUUCACCAAUUCGAAAUUGGAAACGAAAUCAACAUUCAAUUCAUUCUCACGUACGGAUAACGGAAUUUGAAGAGAAAAGAGCUCACCGACUUCGACGUCCAAUGAGGUUGUUCGAUUUCCUCUUGCUGCCUCGCGCCGUUGAUGAAGCGGAUGAGGAAUCGCUGGAUUGUGGCGCUGAAAUGAAGAAUCCUAGUUUGCACUCGGCGUCGUAGCUUCGUGGAUAGGAUCUUGGAUUUCGUCGAAACUCGCUGAAGGAACUGCUGAUGAAUCGAGGCGCAAAGGUUCGUUACGAUCUUCCUCUGUUGUGAUGCUUGGUUUCGUGAUGAAUUGGUGUGGUGAGAUAUUGAGUUGCGAGAAUCGGUGCGGUUUGGCCUUGAGUUCAAUUCGCAGUAAUUACUGUGAGAUUGUUAUGGUGCGGGAACAAGAAGAAAGUGGAAGAUUCAAGAAGAAGAAGAAGAAAGAAGGAAGAAGAAAAUCUGGAAAAAUGGUAGAGAGGUGAAGGUUUGAUGAAGGUGGAGAUCACGGUUUCGGUUACGGUUUUGGUUGAAGAAUUGAGGUUUAGCUUUGCCGUGUAGAGCUUCGAGUGAUGAAGCUCUCAUAAUAAUGGAAGAUGAGCGUAUACUGAAGGUAGGAAGGAAGCGCUUGCACGAUGCUUUUCGAAUGAGGGGAAAAAGUCCGAACCCAAUGAUUGGCAAUGAUUGCUUCUUAUAUAGCGUGAUUCAAGAGGGUAGUUUGGAGAAUUGGAUUUGGGUGGCUCAAUCUCAUUCGUCCAGCUGGCACUUAAGUGAAGGUUUGGUUUCUUGUAGCAUGGCAUUGCAGCAGGAUAGGGUGUUUUAGUUCCUGAUGUUGCAAUUGGUCUUUCUCUCGUAGUUUCUUCUGAUUAUCCUUCAAAGAAUGCGACCUGUUGUAAGCUUCUCAGCAAAAGCAGAUGUAGCAGUAGACUGUUGGGCUGUUCUGACUUUGCGUUUCAAUAUGGUUUGGCAAAAUUAUCUUGCAACUUGGUUAUGUGCAUUCAGCAGGUAUACUACCUUGUUCCUUCAACACAUCCAUGGUUUGUAAUUGUUUUCUAUUUAUGUUGUACUCGUCCAUGGCUUGGUCUACUGGUUUGCAAUGUGAUAGUGCAGGUUGUACACUAUGAUCCAAUGGCUGGAAGGUUAGGAUAUUUCUUGUGCAUUGUGACUUGUUUGUAACUAUUUGCAGACACUUCAUUAGACAGACGAAUUUUUUUGGAGCAUUAUGGGAUGUCCCCAGUUUUAUGUUAACCAAUAUUUUGCAAUAUUUCAUGGUAGGUUGAAAGGGAUUCUGGUGCAGGUCUAUAGCAGGUUGGUCAUGGCUGUUAUGCAGUGGUUUUGACAGUUUUGCUUGAACUGAUGUAAAUAUGGUUGGUUGUUGUACAAGGCUGAGUUGCUUGUUAAUGGAUGAUAGCUGCAACAGGUUUGCAUUGCCUUGCUGCUGCAGCCUGGAACGAGUAUGGUUUAGGUUUGCUCUUUAGUACCCCAAAUAGGUCCUGCUUUUUUGCAGGUGAAGCCUUGUUUCACUUGGUCUAUGUGUGUCUUGGACAGGGUUAAAUGGUGAUUGAGACAGAUGGCAUAGCAGGUCUGCAACCAGCAGGUAAUCACUGUUGGAUUCUCCUGUUCUGCACAACAGGUUAUAUCCAUGCCUUAGAUUUUGCAGCAUUUGACAGGCUGCAGUGUGGUCUGUGGCUUGAACUCUUGUUGCAGGACAUCUGGGUUAAAGGCACUGGUUUACUUCCUCAUGGCAAGCAAAGCGCAUAGUUGUAGGGUCAUGUAAUUGACACAAUGCUGGCUCGGUUUAAGCAUGCUUUAAUUCUGGCUUUUAUCAUCAUGCCUUCACCCAUUAUGGAUUAUAAUGGCAUGCUUGUAUUCUGUCUUUUAUUCACAUGUUACUAUUUAUCAUGCAGGUCAUGGUGGGAUAGAUGAGCAACAUGGCUAAGUAAAGGGUUGGACAUGGCAUGGCAUAACAGUGGAAUUUUGAAGUCACAAAAGUCAAACCAAGGAUCAAAAUAGGACUGAGACAUAGGGUUAGGAUCAGAGAUUGUAGACUUAGGAUUUUUGGGAUGGGGUUGACUUUGGUCAAAGUUGACCAAAAAGUCAACCAUUGACCAAAGUCAACCUUGGUCAACGCCUCAAAUUUUGUGAUUAUUUUGUUCUUCUCUUUUUUUUUUGUAAUGAACAUUUUAUCCUAUAUAAUGGAAAUUGAUAUUCAUGAAUGGAGUGAGCUUGGAUA